CUCCUCUGUCUGUCCUCUUUGAUCUCCGUCCCUCCCAUCCAGUCCCAUCCCAUCAUGGCGUGGCGUCCCGGGGGAGGAGGCGCCCGCCGGCGGAAGCCAAAGAGGGGAUGAGGACAGUGCAGCAACUCAGGAAGGGCCUGCCUGGAGGAAGGCAAUCUGCCACCGCCUCACUUAUUGAGAUCUGUCUGGGACGGAGUCGCCGUCUCGUCCGGCACGUCUUCAUCUAUUUGUUGUCUCGCGAGCGUGCCGUCAAGCGGCGAUGGCCUAGCUGCCCGCCGCAGCCAAUACAGCCACCCGGAGAACUGACGCCGCUGUCAUAUUACAAUGGAAGGCCUCCACAGAGGAAUCAUUUGCAUUCGCCGCGUGCAAACUCAUCUCCCAUUUUGCACCCAACUUUCACACUUGAGGCGAUGAUGGCGAAAAGAGUCGCAGGAGCACGGCGAGCCAGAGUGUUGCCCUUCCCCUGUGGCGCUGAACGAGGCCCAGCGCGUCUUGAUUAUGCAGGCCGCAAAACAAACUGACUCGGCUGCAAAAGGAGCGACGACUACUGGAGGGGAGCAAAAAGCGCCUGAAAGUACAGCGCUGCAAAUGACUGGAUGAUUAGAAAGAAUGUCUUUCUUUACCUACGGUGAACAUCAAAUGGAUUCAACUAAUUAAGUCGUGAUGGCAAUUGUUGGUAAAGAGUCGCUUUGCUUUGCUUUGCUUUGCUUUGCUUUGCUUCCCCUCGUCUCUUUUUAUUACAGUCGUCUCGGUUCACCACCUUCACUCUACUCUUGCGUAAUUCUCACAAGUUCAAUGAGAACAUUUGCAUUGGUUUUUUUUCCCUGUUUGGACUUUCCACCUGCCGAGCGAGCGAGCGCGCGC